CAAUAGCGUAUAUUAAAGUUGUUGCAGUUAAAAAGCUCGUAGUUGGAUUUCUGGUAGGAGCGACCGUGCCGAACUUGAUUGUUCGAGUAUUGUGUUGUCUUCAGCCAUCCUCGUGGAGAACUUUUCUAACAUUAACUUGUUGGGAUUGGGACCCGCGUCGUUUACUGUGAAAAAAUUAGAGUGUUUAAAGCAGGCAUUAGCUUGAAUACAUUAGCAUGGAAUAAUAAGAUAGGACUUUGGUACUAUUUUGUUGGUUUGCAAACCAAAUUAAUGAUCAACAGGAACAGUUUGAGGAUAUUCGUAUGAACAUGUCAGAGGUGAAAUUCUUGGAUUUUGAUCAGACGAACUACUGCGAAAGCAUUUAUCAAGGAUGUUUUCAUUAA
rnacentral:rRNA from 1 species